rnacentral:rRNA from 1 species
GAUGAACGCUGGCGGCGUGCCUAAUACAUGCCAGUCGAGCGAACGGACGAGAAGCUUGCUUCUCUGAUGUUAGCGGCGGACGGGUGAGUAACACGUGGAUAACCUACCUAUAAGACUGGGAUAACUUCGGGAAACCGGAGCUAAUACCGGAUGAUAUUUUGAACCGCAUGGUUCAAAAGUGAAAGACGGUCUUGCUGUCACUUAUAGAUGGAUCCGCGCUGCAUUAGCUAGUUGGUAAGGUAACGGUUUACCAAGGCAACGAUGCAUAGCCGACCUGAGAGGGUGAUCGGCCACACUGGAACUGAGACACGGUCCAGACUCCUACGGGAGGCAGCAGUAGGGAAUCUUCCGCAAUGGGCGAAAGCCUGACGGAGCAACGCCGCGUGAGUGAUGAAGGUCUUCGGAUCGUAAAACUCUGUUAUUAGGGAAGAACAUAUGUGUAAGUAACUGUGCACAUCUUGACGGUACCUAAUCAGAAAGCCACGGCUAACUACGUG